GGGGGUAAAUUAAUAAUAUAAUAAUAAUAAAAUAAUUUUUAAAUAAUAUAAAUAUUUUGGGGGUUAAAGUAUUAAUUAUUGAAAAAAUAAAAAAAUUUAUAGAGAAAUAGUAUUGUGGAAGAAAUUUGAAAUAGAAGUGAAAAUUAAAUAAAAUUAAAGUAAAUUUAAUUUAUUGUAUCUUGUGUAUCAGAGUUUAUUAAUAAAAUAUUAUAUUUUAAUAUUCUCGAAUUAAAAAGGGAAAAUUAGUUAAGAAAGUUAUUGUAGCAAAAAUAUUUUACAUAAUUAAUUUGAAAUGAAAUGUUAAUCGUUUUUUAAGAUAUCUAGUUUUUUUAGAAAAAAAUUUAAUUUUAAAUUUAUUUAAUAUAAAAAUUAAAUAAUUAAUUUUUAUAAUAGUGAAUUUUAAUAUUUUAAGGGAUAAGCUUUAAAAUAAAAAAUUAUAAUAAAUUUAUUAAAAUAAUUAAAAUUUUAAAAUUUAAAUUGUUUAAAAAUUUUAGUUUAUUAUAAAUAAUUUAAGUUAAAAAUAAAAUUUAAUGAAAAAUUUAAUUUUGUAUAAAAAUAUAUAAUUUAAUAAAAAAAUUAUAGAAAUAAUGAUAAAAUUAGUAUAUAAAUAAAAUAAUAAAGUAAAAUUUAAGAAAUGUAAUGGAAAGGAAUUCGGCAAAAUUUUAUAUUCACUUGUUUAUCAAAAACAUGUCUUUUUGAAGAAUAAUUUAAAGUCGGGUCUGCCCACUGAUAGAUAUUAAAGGGCUGCAGUAUUUUGACUGUACAAAGGUAGCAUAAUCAUUAGUCUCUUAAUUGGUGACUUGUAUGAAUGAUCUGAUGAGAUAUAAACUGUCUCUUUAUUAUUUAUAAAAUUUAAUUUUUUAAUUAAAAAGUUAAAAUGAAUUUAAAAGACGAGAAGACCCUAUAGAGUUUUAUAAAUUUAUUUAUAAAUGUAUAUUUAUAAAUAUAGGUAUAUAAAUAAAUAAAUUUAUUUUGUUGGGGUGAUAGAAAAAUAAAAUUAACUUUUUUUUAAUUUAAACAUUAAUAAGUGAAUAAAUGAUCCAGAAAUUUUGAUUAGAAGAUAAAAUUACCUUAGGGAUAACAGCGUAAUUUUUUUUUUUAGUUCAAAUAAGAAAAAGAGUUUGCGACCUCGAUGUUGGAUUAAGAUAAAAUUUAAAUGCAAAAGUUUAAAAUUUUGAUCUGUUCGAUCAUUAAAAUCUUACAUGAUCUGAGUUCAAACCGGUGUGAGCCAGGUUGGUUUCUAUCUUUAAAUAAUAAAAAUAUUUUAGUACGAAAGGAUCAAAUAUUUAAAUUAAAUUUAUUUGUUAUAUAUAUAUAUAUAUAUAUAAAAGAAUAUUAUUAAUUUAAUUUAAAAAUUAUAAAUA